rnacentral:rRNA from 1 species
AGUCCAGACUCCUACGGGAGGCAGCAGUGGGGGAUAUUGCACAAUGGGGGGAACCCUGAUGCAGCGACGCCGCGUGGGUGAAGAAGCGCCUCGGCGCGUAAAGCCCUGUCAGCAGGGAAGAAAAUGACGGUACCUGAAGAAGAAGCCCCGGCUAACUACGUGCCAGCAGCCGCGGUAAUACGUAGGUGGCAAGCGUUGUCCGGAUUUACUGGGUGUAAAGGGCGUGUAGCCGGGCUGACAAGUCAGAUGUGAAAUCCGGGGGCUCAACCCCCGAACUGCAUUUGAAACUGUUGGUCUUGAGUAUCGGAGAGGCAGGCGGAAUUCCUAGUGUAGCGGUGAAAUGCGUAGAUAUCAGGAGGAACACCGGCGGCGAAGGCGGCCUGCUGGACCGUGACUGACGUUGAGGCUCGAGAGCGUGGGGAGCAAACAGGAUUAGAUACCCCCGUA